UUACUUUUUCUCAUUAUAUUUUUACUUUUUUUUUUUUUUUUGAGAAAGUCAAUUUUCUAGCUCCUUAGUCUUCUUCACCGGUUAUGAAGCAUAUUCAAGGGCUGCAACAUUCCAGAUCUAAAUUUUAAGGGAUGGAGAAGCUAAUUCUGGCCUCAAAUCCGCCAAAAAUUCCACAAGUAUGCUGUCCAAGAAUGGCACCAAGAGGCGAUGACUUCUUCUCUUUGCUUCGCCGAUACCAGGUCGUUUCCAAUGAGACUGGUUUACACAUUGAAUGGCAACCGGAAAAGAAGAACAGAAGGGAGAGGGUGUGACGGUGAGAAAGAGAGCUGAUCAGGGAGAGAAAAGGCGAGUAGAGACUAAAAUAUAAUUUUUGCAAUAGUCUAAAUUACUUUUGGACAACUGAGAAGAUGUUGAAGUUGUUGUACUAAGAGCUACUCAAAUGGGUAAGAUAGUUGAGAAGGUUUCUCAAGAGAAGUUUUGGGUCAGCUCUUCUCUACUGCUGCCACCACUGCCCUGAGUUUCAAAUGGAUAAUGAUAAUUAAGAAAUUACAACUUAAAACUUCUGAUAUUUUUUGGGUUCUAUUUAGCUAUGAUUAAACUUUGGCUUAGAGGGUUUUGUUUUAUUUUAUUGAAGUUUUUAAUUUCCUUUUUGAAGUCUAAAUUGUAAGAUGAUAAAUGAUUGCAGAGCUAAAAAAGAGGUAGAGGGGACGAAGGUGAGAUUCCUGCUAUCUUUAAAGCCAUCUUGAAGAGAAAAUUAGUUGGAAUUUCUGUUUUUAAUUCUAAUUGUAAUUUUGAUGGUGAUAUAGAUUUAUGAGAUGCAAAGAAUUGUCUUUUUAGUCAAGAGGGAAAUAAAUAUCAUUAGUUAUAAGUGAAAAUGAUGAGACUGUAUUUUCAAGUAACUACGGUUGUAUGUAUCAGAAAUUGACUUCUUGUGUCUUUUAACAUAUAGAGUAGCAUUAAGGUUGUUUACUGAUGAUCAUUAAUAGCUUUGGCCUUUGGAUGCCUGUUUCGUUUUCUUUUUUAUUUUUUUGCUAUGUUUUUCUUUAGUCAGAUUGUAACUUUAAUUACAUAUUUGUUGACGCCACAAUGAAGCUAAGAAAAGCAGAGGUAAUGAUCUCAAAUAAUUUGUUAAGCAGUGGAUGUGAAGUUUAACAAUGUGCUGCUAUUGCAGGGAUCUAUGAUCUUGCAUAUACUUAUAAUCAACUGAUGAGAAGCAUUCAUGAAACCAUGAUCUUACAUGUAUUAUAAUCAACUGAUGGGAAGCAUUCAUGAAGCUCUUGGCAGGGACAUGGAGAGUGAGGUGUGUGCAUGUGGUGCGUAAAGCUAAUAGCUUUGCCUAUUGGUUUGCAAACAAAACUUUAAGUUGUAAUAUUGGAGUUCACGUGACUGAUAUUGAUUAGUUUUUUUUUCUUUGCUUCGAC
rnacentral:lncRNA from 1 species